rnacentral:rRNA from 1 species
CAGUAGCCGCGGGAAUACGAAGGGGGCUAGCGUUGUUCGGAUUUACUGGGCGUAAAGCGCACGUAGGCGGACUUUUAAGUCAGGGGUGAAAUCCCGGGGCUCAACCCCGGAACUGCCUUUGAUACUGGAAGUCUUGAGUAUGGUAGAGGUGAGUGGAAUUCCGAGUGUAGAGGUGAAAUUCGUAGAUAUUCGGAGGAACACCAGUGGCGAAGGCGGCUCACUGGACCAUUACUGACGCUGAGGUGCGAAAGCGUGGGGAGCAAACAGGAUUAGAGACCCGUGUAGUCCCUGUCUCUUAUAC